UCCCCAGUGGUCUAGUGGUUAGGACUCGGCACUUUUAUUCCUGUGGCCCAGGUUCAAUCCCUGGUUGGGGAA